GAUGAACGCUGGCGGCGUGCCUAACACAUGCAAGUCGAACGAAGAAAUUGUAGCAAUACGGUUUCUUAGUGGCGGACGGGUGAGUAACACGUAGGUGACCUGCCCCGAAGUGUGGAAUAACAGUCCGAAAGGAUUGCUAAUACCGCAUGUGGUCUGUGAGGUUAGAGUCUUGCAGACUAAAGCAGUAAUGUGCUUCGGGAGGGGCCUGCGCCCCAUCAGCUAGUUGGUAGGGUAAUGGCCUACCAAGGCAACAACGGGUAGGGGGCCUGAGAGGGUGACCCCCCACAUUGGCACUGACACACGGGCCAAACUCCUACGGGUGGCAG
rnacentral:rRNA from 1 species